GGGAAAGAUAACAGAGCCAUAAGUGUGAUCCUUGGUGACAGGUGGAAGAAAAUGAAGAAUGAAGAGAGAAGAAUGUACACAUUAGAAGCAAAGGCUUUGGCUGAAGAACAGAAACGUUUAAAUCCUGACUGUUGGAAGAGGAAAAGAACCAAUUCAGUAUGUUUCAAUAAAUAGUGUUUAAAAUUAUCUUGCCUUAUCCGUGCAGGUGUACUGGCAUGUUGGAGCAGUUGUUACAACCUUUAAGAGGUUGUGUUGAUGCUGUCUCUAGCAUUUUUAUACUUCAAAACCUAAUAAUGUUAUCACAUCAUCAUAUAAAGACUGCCUUUCCUCAAGGGUCAUUUACUCUCAUAGCAUGGCAAGUCGAAAUCUCAGGCAAACUUCAAAAGAAUGUUUGUUCUAAACAUUGAGUUGGAAAAAUAAUUUUGGAAUGCAGUGUUUCUAGUUGGGUUGAAAGAUAAGCAUUAUUAAUCCAUUAAUAUCACAGUAGAAAAUUUCUCUAAUAAUUUUGGGAUUGUCUCAACAGCUUUUUUUCCUUAAUUGGUGAGGGACCAAUAAGGCUGGAGGUGUUGGGGUAUGUUAGCUGUCAUUCAUGGGGACUUGUGCCAUUGGCACAGAAUUUCUAGAUUGAAAAAUUUCAAGGAGGAGAAGAAAUAGGCCCAGGAAUGGUGGCAAACAAGUCUAUAUGAUAAGCUAUCUUGGAUAGACUUGUUUCUUAUAACUUUUCCAUUACUAAACUAGCAUCUUUUAGGUUCAGCGUUUUUAGAUUAAUUGCAAAA
rnacentral:lncRNA from 1 species